rnacentral:rRNA from 1 species
GAAAAACUAUUUUUUUAGUUCUUCACACCCCAUUGUUGACUUACCAUGUUGCUUCCACGCGGACAGGCUCAUUCUGAGUGAGCCCUUUGGCUUGGUGUGGGUAAUUCACACAUUCCGGAGAGUUGCCUGUGGUAAGACCCCAAAACAAAAACUUGAAAAAACCAAAAAGUCUGACAAUUCAUUGCAAAUGAAAUAAAACUUUCAACAACGGAUCUCUAGGCUCUUGCAUCGAUGAAGAACGCAGUGAAAUGCGAUAAGUAAUGUGAAUUGCAGAAUCUCGUGAAUCAUCGAAUCUUUGAACGCACAUUGCGCCCUAUGGUAUUCCGUAGGGCAUGCCUGUCUGAGCGUCAGCUCCCCCCCUCUCAAGCGUCUUGUCUGAAGCUUGGAUUACUUUGGAGAAGUAGUUCCAUAGUGAGCAGCCCUCCAGAAAUUUAUAGGCAGUAUGGUUAUACCUGGACCAGACGUAAUAAUAAUAAAAUCGUCUUUUUAAGAAUGAUUGUACUUGCCUCAACCCACCCA